rnacentral:rRNA from 1 species
UACGGAGGGGGCUAGCGUUGUUCGGAAUUACUGGGCGUAAAGCGCGCGUAGGCGGACCUGCAAGUCGGGGGUGAAAGCCCGAGGCUCAACCUCGGAACUGCCUUUGAUACUGCGGGUCUCGAGUCCGGGAGAGGCGAGUGGAAUUCCCGGUGUAGCGGUGAAAUGCGCAGAUAUCGGGAGGAACACCUAUGGCGAAGGCAGCUCGCUGGGACGUUACUGACGCUGAGACGCGAAAGCGUGGGGAGCAAACAGG